GGGGGAUUAGCUCAGUUGGUAGAGCGCUGCAAUCGCACUGCAGAGGUCAGGGAUUCGAGUUCCCUAUCCUCCA
rnacentral:tRNA from 1 species